rnacentral:rRNA from 1 species
GAUGAACGCUGGCGGCGUGCCUAAUACAUGCAAGUCGAGCGAACAGACGAGGAGCUUGCUCCUCUGACGUUAGCGGCGGACGGGUGAGUAACACGUGGAUAACCUACCUAUAAGACUGGGAUAACUUCGGGAAACCGGAGCUAAUACCGGAUAAUAUAUUGAACCGCAUGGUUCAAUAGUGAAAGACGGUUUUGCUGUCACUUAUAGAUGGAUCCGCGCCGCAUUAGCUAGUUGGUAAGGUAACGGCUUACCAAGGCAACGAUGCGUAGCCGACCUGAGAGGGUGAUCGGCCACACUGGAGCGAAGACACGGUCCAGAAUCCUACGGGAGGCAGCAGUAGGAAAUCUUCCGCAAGGGGCGAAAGCCUGACGAAGCAAGGCAGCGUGAGUGAUGAAGGUCUUGGGAUCGUAAACCUCUGUUAUGAGGGAAGAAGAAAUGUGUAAGUAACAAUGCAGGUCUUGAGGGUCCCUAAUAAGAAGGCCACGGCUAACUACGG